CUGGCGGCGUGCCUAACACAUGCAAGUCGAACGAGAAAGUUUCCUUCGGGGAAUGAGUAAAGUGGCGCAAGGGUGAGUAACACGUGAGUAAUCUGCCUUCGAAUCUGGGAUAACUUGACGAAAGUUAAGCUAAUACCGGAUAAGACCACGUUUCACAAGAAAUGCGGUCAAAGGGGUCUCAAACCCCGUUUGAAGAUGAGUUCGCGUACCAUUAGCUUGUUGGUGAGAUAACAGCUCACCAAGGCAACGAUGGUUAGCCGGCCUGAGAGGGUGAUCGGCCACACUGGAACUGAGACACGGUCCAGACUCCUACGGGAGGCAGCAGUGGGGAAUUUUGCGCAAUGGGCGAAAGCCUGACGCAGCAACGCCGCGUGAGCGAUGAAGGCCUUCGGGUCGUAAAGCUCUGUCAAGUGGGAAGAACACAAUGACGGUACCACUAGAGGAAGCCCCGGCUAACUUCGUGCCAGCAGCCGCGGUAAUACGAAGGGGGCAAGCGUUGUUCGGAAUUAUUGGGCGUAAAGCGUGUGUAGGUGGUUGUUCAAGUCAGACGUGUAAGCCCUCGGCUCAACCGAGGAAUUGCGUUUGAAACUGAUCGACUUG
rnacentral:rRNA from 2 species